CCUGCCCUCCACUUCGGGAUAAGCCUUGGAAACGGGGUCUAAUACCGGAUAUGAGCAUCCAUCGCAUGGUGGGUGUUGGAAAGUUUUUCGGUGGGGGAUGGGCUCGCGGCCUAUCAGCUUGUUGGUGGGGUGAUGGCCUACCAAGGCGUCGACGGGUAGCCGGCCUGAGAGGGCGACCGGCCACACUGGGACUGAGACACGGCCCAGACUCCUACGGGAGGCAGCAGUGGGGAAUAUUGCACAAUGGGCGAAAGCCUGAUGCAGCGACGCCGCGUGAGGGAUGACGGCCUUCGGGUUGUAAACCUCUUUCAGCAGGGAAGAAGCGCAAGUGACGGUACCUGCAGAAGAAGCGCCGGCUAACUACGUGCCAGCAGCCGCGGUAAUACGUAGGGCGCAAGCGUUGUCCGGAAUUAUUGGGCGUAAAGAGCUCGUAGGCGGUUUGUCGCGUCUGGUGUGAAAUCCCGAGGCUC
rnacentral:rRNA from 1 species